UGGGGAAUAUUGGACAAUGGGCGCAAGCCUGAUCCAGCAAUGCCGCGUGAGUGAUGAAGGCCUUCGGGUUGUAAAGCUCUUUCGCACGCGACGAUGAUGACGGUAGCGUGAGAAGAAGCCCCGGCUAACUUCGUGCCAGCAGCCGCGGUAAUACGAAGGGGGCUAGCGUUGUUCGGAAUUACUGGGCGUAAAGGGCGCGUAGGCGGUACUUCAAGUCAGGCGUGAAAGCCCCGGGCUCAACCUGGGAACCGCGCUUGAGACUGGAGAACUAGAGUUCGGGAGAGGGAUGGUGGAAUUCCCAGUGUAGAGGUGAAAUUCGUAGAUAUUGGGAAGAACACCGAUGGCGAAGGCAGCCAUCUGGACCGACACUGACGCUGAGGCGCGAAAGCGUGGGGAGCAAACAGGAUUAGAUACCCUGGUAGUCCACGCCGUAAACGAUGAAGUGCUAGACGUUGGGGCCCUUAGGGCUUCGGUGUCGCAGCUAACGCAUUAAGCACU
rnacentral:rRNA from 1 species